GGCUCUUCUGGUAAUUUUGUAAAAAAAAAUAACAACAUAUAGCUAUGCUACAUUCUAUUAUACAAUACAACCCACCAAUCAUUUAAUAUACAAUCAACCACCAUAAGAAUACAAACAUUAAAAAUCAAAUUAUUUACAAAAUUUAUCGAGGUUCCAAAUCCAAACUACAAAACAUACAAAAGACUAAAAACUAUAAUUCAUCAUCCUUAUCCUCAUUCUCAGCCUCACCCAUUAUAUUAUUAAUACUUCAUUGAUAUAUCCAUCUAUAAUCAGGUUCCAUCUACACAAUCAAUCACAUUCAAGUAAUUAGUUCAAGUCACAAAAGUUCACAUUUCGAGUACCUUCACUUAAAGAUUUUCAAGUCACUAAUUCACUUCACAAGUUACCAAACUAAACUUAAUUCAAAAUGAAAAGUUCACGUUUCAAGUACCUACACUUAAACAUUUUAAGUCACUAAUUCACCUCUCAAGUGACCACACUUUACUAAAAUCAAAACGCAAAUUAACUUUGCAAGUACCUAAAUUCAACACAAAGUCACUAAUUCAUAAUUCAAGUAACUACACUUAAAUAUUUCAAGUCAUUAAGUCACUUCACAAGUUACCAAACUAAACUAAAUUCAAAAUAAAAAGUUCACAUUUCAAGUACUUCACAUUUCAAGUAUCUACACUUAAACAUUUCAAGUCACCAAUUCACUUCACAAGUUACCAAACUAAACUAAAAUCAAAAUGAAAAGUUCACAUUUUAAGUACGUACACCUUAACAUUUUCAAGUCACUAAGUCACUUCACAAUUUACUAAACUAAACUAAAUUCAAAAUGAAAUGAUCACAUUUCAAGUACCUACCACUAAACUUUUCAAGUCACUAAGUCCCUUCACAAGUUACCAAACUAAAAUAAAUUCAAAAUGAAAAGUUAAAAUUUUAAGUACCUGCACCUAAACAUUUUUAAGUCAUAAGUCAUUUCACAAGUUAUCAAACUAAACUAAAUUCAAAAUGAAAAGUUCACAUUUCAAGUACAUACACUUGAUCAUUUUCAAGUUACUAAGUCACUUCACAAGUUACUAAACUAAACUAAAUUCAAAAUGAAAAGUUCACAUUUCAAGUACAUACACUUGAUCAUUUUCAAGUUACUAAGUCACUUCACAAGUUACUAAACUAAACUUAAUUCAAAAUGAAAAGUUCACAUUUCAAGUACCUACAUCUUAACAUUUUCAAGUCACUAUUUCACUUCUCAAGUAACCACACUUUAGUAAAUUCAAAACACAAGUUCAUCUUUCAAGUACCUAAACUUAAAUAUUUUCAAGUCACUAAUUCACUUCUCAAGUGGUCACAUUUUACUAAAUUCAAAACACAAGUUCACCUUUCAAGUACCUACAUUUAAACAUUUUCAAGUCACUAAUUCACUUCUCAAGUGACCACACUUUAGUAAAUUCAAAACACAAGUUAACCAACACAAGUUCACCUUUCAAGUACCUACACUUAAACAUUUUCAAGUCACUAAUUCACUUCUCAAGUGACCACACUUUAGUAAAUUCAAAACACAAUUUAUCCUUUCAAUUACCUAAACUUAAAUAUUUUCAAGUCACUAUUUCACUUCUUAAGUGACCACAGUUAUUAAAUUCAAAACACAAUUUAACCUUUCAAGUACCUAAACUUAAACAUUUUCGAGUCACUAAUUCAAUUCUCAAGUGACCACACUUUAGUAAAUUCAAAACACAAGUUCAUUUUUCAAGUACCUAAACUUAAACAUUUUCGAGUUACUAAAUCACUUCUCAAGCUACCACACUUUAGUAAAUUCAAAACACAAGUUCACAUUUCAAGUACCUAAACUUAAACAUUUUCAAGUCACUAUUUCAUUUCUCAAGUUACCACACUUUAUUAAAUUGAAAACACAAGUUCAUAUUUCAAAUACCUACACCUAAACAUUUCAAGUCACUAAUUCAACUUUACAAGUGACCAAACUUAAUUAAAUAUAGCCUUAACAUUAAAAAAGUUUCACGCAAAAUGUCACACAUAUUACAUUUAUGGAAUUAUUUUAGAUAGAGAGAUGAAACUUCUACAAACUAAUAUGCAGCACUAAAAAUUAAGGGUAAAAUUUGGGCUUUAACAGUUGGGCAAUGUAAAAAUGUAAAUAUGCAUAGAAUUAAGUUAUCCUAUGUUACGAAUAUCACGAAUUUAAUAUCUAAAAAACAUUGGAUAGGUAGAAGAAAAUGACAAUAGGAAAAUUGCAUUACGAAAAUAAACCUGAGAUGGAUUCAUAGAAUCCAUUAUGUAUUUCAACGCUUUCUGAGUUGUCAACUCUGGGUACGGUGGAAUGAGAAGAACGGAGCAGCGACGCUGGUCAUUGAACGACAGUGAGAUAGUGGCAUGGUGGAGCGAGGGAGAGAAAAGAAAGGGGUACCGACGAUGAGAAAGGCGAAAAGAGGAAGAAGAUGCGGAGGCAGUGGCGAUGCCAUUGGCCGGCCGGCGAUAGCAACGGUGGUCAGAAAGAAGUGGAGAGAGAGAGAGGGGCUGAUGCGAC
rnacentral:lncRNA from 1 species